rnacentral:tmRNA from 1 species
GGGGGCGCAUUUGGCUUCGACGGAAGUCACGAGACCUUGGGUGCAUGCCGAGGGGGUAGCUUUCCUCGUUAAUCCAGCUGCAAGACUCUAGUCGCGAACGACGAAGUCUACGCUCUAGCAGCCUAAGGGCUGCUUAACCACUCUACCUUGUGUCUGUGCUCGGUAAUGGUGGGUCAGAAUCACAGAAUCGUGAGCCAGGCGGGCCUGACGUCGGCAACUAAAACUUCCAGGCUGGUCACGCAGCUUUCCUGUCGGUUGGAGCGCGGCGUGACGAGAUCUGAUAAUCGACUAAGCAUGUAGAUCGCAAGAUGUAGGGCUUGCGGACGGGGGUUCGACUCCCCCCGCCUCCACCA